UACGAAGGGGGCUAGCGUUGUUCGGAAUCACUGGGCUUAAAGGGUGCGUAGGCGGGCUGCCAAGUUUGGGGUGAAAUCCUCCGGCUCAACCGGGGAAGUGCCUUGAAUACUGGCGGUCUCGAGGGAGGUAGGGGCGUGCGGAACUAACGGUGGAGCGGUGAAAUGCGUUGAUAUCGUUAGGAACUCCGGUGGCGAAGGCGGCACGCUGGACCGCAUCUGACGCUGAGGCACGAAAGCCAGGGGAGCGAACGGG
rnacentral:rRNA from 1 species